rnacentral:rRNA from 1 species
UACGUAGGGGGCAAGCGUUGUCCGGAAUCAUUGGGCGUAAAGAGCGUGUAGGCGGCUCGGUAAGUCCGCUCUGAAAGCCCGGGGCUCAACCCCGGGAGGCGGGCGGAUACUGUCGGGCUAGAGUCCGGAAGAGGCGAGUGGAAUUCCUGGUGUAGCGGUGAAAUGCGUAGAGAUCGGCAGGAACACCCAGGGGGAAACCAGCCGACUGGGCAAGUGCUGACGCUGAGGUGCGAGAGCGUGGGGAGCGAACCGG